rnacentral:rRNA from 1 species
GUGGGGAAUAUUGGACAAUGGGCGCAAGCCUGAUCCAGCCAUGCCGCGUGAGUGAUGAAGGCCCUAGGGUUGUAAAGCUCUUUCACCGGUGAAGAUAAUGACGGUAACCGGAGAAGAAGCCCCGGCUAACUUCGUGCCAGCAGCCGCGGUAAUACGAAGGGGGCUAGCGUUGUUCGGAAUUACUGGGCGUAAAGCGCACGUAGGCGGACAUUUAAGUCAGGGGUGAAAUCCCGGGGCUCAACCCCGGAACUGCCUUUGAUACUGGGUGUCUGGAGUAUGGAAGAGGUAAGUGGAAUUCCGAGUGUAGAGGUGAAAUUCGUAGAUAUUCGGAGGAACAACAGUGGCGAAGGCGGCUUACUGGUCCAUUACUGACGCUGAGGUGCGAAAGCGUGGGGAGCAAACAGGAUUAGAAACCCUAGUAGUCC